rnacentral:rRNA from 1 species
UACCAGCACCCCGAGUGGUCGGGGCGUUUAUUGGGCCUAAAGCGUCCGUAGCCGGUUCUACAAGUCUUCCGUUAAAUCCAGCUGCUUAACAGAUGGGCUGCGGAAGAUACUAUGGAGCUAGGAGGCGGGAGAGGCAAGCGGUACUCGAUGGGUAGGGGUAAAAUCCGUUGAUCCAUUGAAGACCACCAGUGGCGAAGGCGGCUUGCCAGAACGCGCUCGACGGUGAGGGAUGAAAGCUGGGGGAGCAAACCGG